rnacentral:rRNA from 1 species
GACGAACGCUGGCGGCGUGCCUAAUACAUGCAAGUUGAGCGCUGAAGGUUGGUACUUGUACCAACUGGAUGAGCAGCGAACGGGUGAGUAACGCGUGGGGAAUCUGCCUUUGAGCGGGGGACAACAUUUGGAAACGAAUGCUAAUACCGCAUAAAAACUUUAAACACAAGUUUGAAGUUUGAAAGAUGCAAUUGCAUCACUCAAAGAUGAUCCCGCGUUGUAUUAGCUAGUUGGUGAGGUAAAGGCUCACCAAGGCGAUGAUACAUAGCCGACCUGAGAGGGUGAUCGGCCACAUUGGGACUGAGACACGGCCCAAACUCCUACGGGAGGCAGCAGUAGGGAAUCUUCGGCAAUGGACGAAAGUCUGACCGAGCAACGCCGCGUGAGUGAAGAAGGUUUUCGGAUCGUAAAACUCUGUUGGUAGAGAAGAACGUUGGUGAGAGUGGAAAGCUCAUCAAGUGACGGUAACUACCCAGAAAGGGACGGCUAACUACGUG